CGCCUUCCGGGAAAGUCUUUGUUCUAAGCAAGUGCUGGAAGCUGUGUGAGGGCCAGGUGAUGGCCCCCAGAGCAGCUCAGGUGGUGAUGCCAGAUGGGGAGCAGGGCAGCCAAGGCUGGCAGUACCUUCAGCAGUGUCUGCAGGGUGGUUGCAUACCAGUGGCUUCCAACAUACACUUUGAUGAUCUGUUGUGGGGAAUACACAGUGAUCUCUGCUGUCCACUCAUCUAUGGGAAUCGAGAUAGAACAUAAUCAUAUGGCCAGAAGGGAAAGCAGGUAGGGCCCUUUGGUCAGUAGUGUAUUUCAUGUUAAGUCUCAAUAUCUUUCCUCAGUCAUAUUGUGUUGCCUACUCUGAGAAGCAGCAGAAAUCCCUGACAUAAACGUUGCUUGCUGCAAGGUUUCCUGGGUGGUGAGGUGGGAAAGGGCACUGCCCCUCUUCACCUGACCCUCCUCCCUCAGGAAAGCUGGGUUGAUGACCCUGUCCACCUACAAUGCCAACUGCCUCCAGUUUCUGGCUGGGUGUGUCCUGGGUGUGUAGCUUUUCAUGUGGCCACUCAGACUGAAGCUAAGAAUCUCCCUCUGCGUGUUUGUGUUUGUGGUUUGGCAAAUGUCAUGGAGCCUACUCCCAUCAAAUCCCUGUCACUUUUAUGAGACUAAGCCUCUAGGCAUGUCUGGAGAAUGGGGGCUAUAUGCUGGGAAGAUGAACCCAUGACCCUUUUCCUGGAGCUGACUAUAUGUAGGCCUUGUUCUGAUGUUUGGGAAGCAGUUUCUAAUGAGCUCUGUAAUGAAUGAAGGGUAUAUAACUAGAUUAUAUAACCAAGAGGUAAGAUGUAUAGAACUAGACUGUGAACUCUAGGAAGACAGAGACUCUGUUGCUUACUUCUGUACCACCAAUGUCUACUGCUGUCCUGGUAUAUGGCCAGUACUCAAUAAAUGUUGAAUGGUGCUAAAUGAUAGUAAUACAGCUUAAACUUUGCCCCCCAGAUUUUUGGUAAUAAGAAGUUAUAGGCAGCUGGUGAAAACAACAGUAGCUUUGGACUCAGUCAAACCCCAGCUUGACCACUGUGUAACUUGAGCGAGUUUUCUUCUCUGAACCUAUUUUUCAGCUAUUAAAUGGACCCAGGGACAGCUCUGUUUAACAUCGAGGAGGCUCCUCCCUGCAUGGCUAUGAGAAGCACAGCAAGUCAGCUCCCAGGGUCAAGGCAGGCCUGCCUUGGGGGUCCUGCAUGGCUGCAGACUGGGUAACAGCCCUGUCUGCUGCUGGAGAUGAAUUGUGGGCUUGGAGUUUCAGGAAAGCAGCCAUCUGGCCCCAGCCUCUGCAGGAGUCUUCAUUAGUCCCAAGCUCUACUGUAACCAUCCAAGGGUCAAACCAAGACUAUCAAGGGGAGGCCAAAGUUUCCUGGCGACAUACCCAUGUUCAUCCGGUACCACCUUAUGGCUUCAGUGAGUGCAGGGAUUUCCAGAAUUUCCACUUCUGCUUCUAAUACAUCAAUGUUGGAGAAAUUAUCCGGUAGUAAAAUCUUCUGUGAGCGAAGAAAAUUCACUUGAAAAACAAAGGGGAACACAGUGAGUUAAUGAGGCUAUUUCUGGUUUAACUGCAGGUCCUGGUUUUGGCAGAUUUCUGGUGCUGUAACUUAUCCUAGGUUCUCCUUGUUCUGAAACAACUUCUCAACAUACCUGAUUAGAUUAGCUUUGAGUGUGUGGUUUUCAAGGUGAAAGACCCCACAUUACUUUGUUUUCCUGUGUCUGAGGCCAUGGGUGUGGCCUCCCGUGGCUUGGCCUGGGGCUCCCAAGCCAGGCCCUCCUGGUGGGCACACUGGCCCUGAGACUUACCCUGCGAGUCUUGACCCAAGAGCAGGUCAUUCCAAAAGAGGGAGUUGUCUUGCUGCUUAGAGAGGAGGGGCCCGGCCGAGCCUGGGCUGGCGGGUGGCACUUGCAGUUUGUCCCUGCCUGGACUGCAGUAUGGGAGGCAGAGAUGGA